rnacentral:rRNA from 1 species
UACGUAGGGUGCAAGCGUUAAUCGGAAUUACUGGGCGUAAAGAGUUCGUAGGCGGUUUGUCGCGUCGUUUGUGAAAACCCGGGGCUCAACUUCGGGCUUGCAGGCGAUACGGGCAGACUUGAGUGUUUCAGGGGAGACUGGAAUUCCUGGUGUAGCGGUGAAAUGCGCAGAUAUCAGGAGGAACACCGGUGGCGAAGGCGCUCAUCUGGCCCAAUACUGACGCUGAAGCGCGAAAGCUAGGGGAGCAAACGGG